GACGAACGCUGGCGGCGUGCUUAACACAUGCAAGUCGAGCGGUAAGGCCCUUUCGGGGGUACGACGAGCGGCGAACGGGUGAGUAACACGUGGGUGACCUGCCCUCAGCUCUGGGAUAAGCCCGGGAAACUGGGUCUAAUACUGGAUAUGACUCCAUGACGCAUGUUGUGGGGUGGAAAGCCUUGUGCGGCUGAGGAUGGGCCCGCGGCCUAUCAGCUUGUUGGUGGGGGAUGGCCUACCAAGGCGACGACGGGUAGCCGGCCUGAGAGGGCGACCGGCCACACUGGGACUGAGACACGGCCCAGACUCCUACGGGAGGGCAGCAGUGGGGAAGUCUUGCGCAAUGGGCGAAAGCCUGACGCAGCGACGCCGCGUGAGGGAU
rnacentral:rRNA from 1 species